rnacentral:pre_miRNA from 1 species
CUUAUGCGGCAGCAUAGGAUUGAAUUGAGGGAGAACGUUUACGAUUUUACCCCUUUUCUUGCUCUUGCUCCUUGCUGCUUUGGAG